rnacentral:rRNA from 1 species
AGUGGGGAAUUUUGGACAAUGGGCGAAAACCUGAUCCAGCCAUGCCGCGUGCAGGAUGAAGGCCUUCGGGUUGUAAACUGCUUUUGUACGGAACGAAAAGACUCUGGUUAAUACCUGGGGUCCAUGACGGUACCGUAAGAAUAAGCACCGGCUAACUACGUGCCAGCAGCCGCGGUAAUACGUAGGGUGCAAGCGUUAAUCGGAAUUACUGGGCGUAAAGCGUGCGCAGGCGGUUAUAUAAGACAGAUGUGAAAUCCCCGGGCUCAACCUGGGAACUGCAUUUGUGACUGUAUAGCUAGAGUACGGCAGAGGGGGAUGGAAUUCCGCGUGUAGCAGUGAAAUGCGUAGAUAUGCGGAGGAACACCGAUGGCGAAGGCAAUCCCCUGGGCCUGUACUGACGCUCAUGCACGAAAGCGUGGGGAGCAAA